GGAAGUAAAAGUCGUAACAAGGUUUCCGUAGGUGAACCUGCGGAAGGAUCAUUACCUAGAGUUGUAGGCUUUGCCUGCUAUCUCUUACCCAUGUCUUUUGAGUACCUUCGUUUCCUCGGCGGGUUCGCCCGCCGAUUGGACAAUUUAAACCAUUUGCAGUUGCAAUCAGCGUCUGAAAAAACUUAAUAGUUACAACUUUCAACAACGGAUCUCUUGGUUCUGGCAUCGAUGAAGAACGCAGCGAAAUGCGAUAAGUAGUGUGAAUUGCAGAAUUCAGUGAAUCAUCGAAUCUUUGAACGCACAUUGCGCCCCUUGGUAUUCCAUGGGGCAUGCCUGUUCGAGCGUCAUUUGUACCUUCAAGCUCUGCUUGGUGUUGGGUGUUUGUCUCGCCUCUGCGCGUAGACUCGCCUCAAAACAAUUGGCAGCCGGCGUAUUGAUUUCGGAGCGCAGUACAUCUCGCGCUUUGCACUCAUAACGACGACGUCCAAAAGUACAUUUUUACACUCUUGACCUCGGAUCAGGUAGGGAUACCCGCUGAACUUAAGCAUAUCAAUAAGCGGAGGA
rnacentral:rRNA from 1 species